GGAACAAACCCAAAGAUCAUUAUAGAGGGCACAGAUGGCUCAGGAGGGCUCAGACUACUGUGUGAAAUUAAAGGCUGGAGGUCUGAACCUGAGCUGCAGUGGUUCAGUGGAGGAGCACAACUGCCUGCAGGAGAUAAAGAAUCACACAGAGACGAUGAGGUCUACACUGUUAGACGCCACGUCACUGCACAAGGCAGUGGAACCUUUGUCUGCAGAGUCAAACAGUAUCCCAAGAUGGAGGCAGAGAUCACUGUCGCUGCACAAGGAUAAAAGGAUUCCCUCCACCAUGGCGGUUCCCAUGGCGACCACACUGUGUUGUUUGGGUCUCUCUCCUCUUUUCUCUUGUGUUCAUACUGUAACAUGCUCUCAUACUCAUAUCUGCAUUAACAAACAGUUCAAUGGGUGUACCUAAUAAAGAGCCCUUUGAGUGUAUAAUCUGUACUCCUAAAGUGCCCCCUAGUGGCACUUCCUUUGUAAGUGAUCUGACAUUUCUUUUUGUGGAUUAAUGCUGACGUGAUGCCACCUAAUGUGUCAGUACUGUGAGACUUUGGUUGUUUCCACAAAUCUAGUUUUCACAAAACUUCA